rnacentral:lncRNA from 1 species
UUUUCCAUCAAGUAGAGCUAAACUUCAGGCACUUCCUAAAAGUGUUUCCGAAUUGAAUGACUGUUGAUGGUGUCUUCCAAUAUAAGACUCAUAAAGAUAUUGGCAAGACAUACUGUAUGUAGAUAAUUUUUAGGGACUCUUUAGCAUGCUAGUACUUGAAGAUGAAGAUCAUUAACUCACAGCCAGUGGUGAAGGAAAGGCACUAGCUCAGUGGAACAACUUGGCUUUAGAAUGGUGAGGUGCCUGGCUCAGAGUCACACAGACCAAAGACUCCAGAGUCCCUUCAUAUAUAACUACUGCACCUGUGAUACAGAUGAUCAAAUAAGUAGCUCCAUUUAGGAUUUAGGAUGUAAUGUUGAAGUUGAUACUAAAUCCAUAAGCGCAAAGAGGUAGAACUUUGACAAUAUUCCUAUUUUAUUAGUUAUAUAAUGUACUAUUAUUGGGAGAAGAAGCCUUCCAUUAAACACAAAAAUCAAAUUGAAAUUUGGUUUCAGCUUUAAAGAGAGUGGAGUCUGGAAAAUACUUUUAUUUUCUUUAGAAAACUUUUUUUGUUGUUGUUUUUAAGUAGAUGGAAAGACAGGCUCCAUCCACCAUUGAGGAUUAGAAGUGGAGCAGCAUCAGGGGCAUUCAUGCUCAGUCUGACUGGCAAUGAGUGUCUGGAAUAGGAAGUUGCAACACUGAACUUUGGGGCAAAGCAUUGAGAAAAACAUUUUGCCAGUUACAGCCUUUUUCUUAAAAAAAUUUUUUUUAAGCCAAAACAUUUUUCUUUGUACAAAAGAAACUUUUUGUUUAGGACUUGCUUGGCUGCAAAGUUGUCUGCUGGCUAACUUCCUAUUUGGAUGCUAUGGCUGAAAGUUGCUGGUACUGUUGUGCACGGUAAUGUGUCUUGCCUUCUUGUUCUGUGAACAUAAGAAAAUUCAAGUGUUGGGAAACCUACACCUGAAUAUUCCACACUCCCCUUGUAUUGAUAUACAUACUGUUUAUGUGAAGAAUGGCUUAAUGGCAUCUACAGGCUGGCACCCCUUUGCUAAUGUGUGUAGUCUUCCAUGUUGAAAGUGUCCCAUGUUUAGAGUGUCCCUUUAAUUAAAACAAUAGAAUUCCUAAGUAAAAGGAGAAUUAACUAAGUGGUAAUCAUGUUAGUCUAAGCUAAUUCAUUCUUUGUAGGAAGAAUGGCUCUUUUCAACAGUUGAGUUAAUGUGCUUCUGGGAUCUAGAUCACAUGUUUUCAGUGAUUAUGGUAGGAAUGUUUACAUAAAUAGUAAACUUUCACUCUUUCUUAGAGAUUGUUUAAGUGGGAAAAUGUAGAGAAGAUACUUUGAAAAGUAGGGUAAACUAUAAGCGAUUUUACAAUUCAAAUAUGUUCAUUUGAUAUAUAUGUUUAAUUCACUUGAAGUUUUUUUUAAUUGUGUCACUUUUUAAUCCUCUUCUUACAUAAUAUUCUAAUUCUUGAAAACUUCCUCAGUCAAUUUCCAUGCCAGAUUUCUAGUCAAGUGGUGCUUUGUCUUAUUCCACACAAAUUUAAUGUUACUGUAUUUUUCAAAAUAGGCUUAAAAUUGCCCUGGUUUGGUUUUUAUUGCCAUUUAUUGUUUGCUUGUUUGUUUGUUUAAAUUAUUUUUAUUUUAUGUAAUUGGUGCUUUACCUACGUGUAUGUAAAAGGACGGUGUUGGGUCCCCAAGAGCAGAACUUACAGACAGGUGUGAGCUGCCAUAUGGGUGCUGAAUUGAAGAGCAGCCCGUGCUUUUAACUGAUGAGCCAUCUCUCCAGCUCAUGGUUUGGUUUAGUUUUGUGUGUGAUUGUGGGAGUGGGACCCAGAGAUCCACCCCUGCAACUCAUUGUGCUCCUGUACAUGUGAUGGACAGUGAAGAGAGUGGCCACCAUCUGUGACUUACAAAACUAGAGCUCUGAACUACAGCUCUGGUCAUUCUGCCUUCUAAAAUUCACCAGAUGUGCUGAAUUAGAUGUGUCAGGGAAGCUAGUGGACAGACCCUUGAGCUCUAUCCUUGGAGAUUCUGAGUUAAUGAACAAAAGAUUCAGCUCCAUAAAUACAAGAUGGUACACACUUUAAUGCUGGUACUUUACAGGGCGCGAGGGGAUAGUGCAGAUAGAGACAAGUGGAUAUUUGUUAGUUCAAGACAAACCUCGUCUACAUAGUGAGUUUCAGGCCAGCCAUGUCUAUCUACAUAGAUACAUAGUGAGAGACUCUGUCUCAAAAGAGGUUUAAAAAAAAAUUUUUUUUUAAAGCUCCUAUAGCCAAGCCAUGGUGGUAUAUGCUUUUAACCCCAGCCUAGUCUAUAGAGUAAGAUCCAGGGCUACAUAGAAAAACCUUAAAAUUAAUGUGGAAUUGAAUCCCAGUGUUGGAAAAAACUUAAUUCAGAAACUACUUGCAGUGACUUUUAAAUAUAUUUUAUUUUAUUUUAUUUUAUUUGAUACAGUCUCACUUUGUUACCCUACCUUCCUGGAAUUCACAGUAGACCAGGCCAGCCUUGAAUUCAGAGAUCUAAGCCGGGCAUGGUGGCGCACGCCUUUAAUCCCAGCACUUGGGAGGCAGAAGCAGGCGAGAAUUUCUGAGUUCGAGGCCAGCCUGGUCUACAGAGUGAAUUCCAGGACAGCCAGGACUAUACAGAGAAACCCUGUCUCAAAAAACC